GAUGAACGCUGGCGGCGUGCCUAAUACAUGCAAGUCGAGCGAACGGACGAGAAGCUUGCUUCUCUGAUGUUAGCGGCGGACGGGUGAGUAACACGUGGAUAACCUACCUAUAAGACUGGGAUAACUUCGGGAAACCGGAGCUAAUACAGGAUAAUAUUUUGAACCGCAUGGUUCAAAAGUGAAAGACGGUCUUGCUGACACUUAUAGAUGGAUCCGCGCUGCAUUAGCUAGUUGGUAAGGUAACGGCUUACCAAGGCAACGAUGCGUAACCGACCUGAGAGGAUGAUCAGCCACACGGGAACUGAGACACGGUCCAGCCUCCUACGGGAGGCCGCAGUGGGGAAUAGUGGACACUGUGCGAAAGCCUGAUCCAGCAAUGCCGCGUGUGUGAAGAAGGUCUUCGGAUUUUAAAGCACUUUAAGUUGGGAGGAACGGCAGUAAGCUAAUACCUUGCUGUUUUGACGUUACCAACAGAAUAAGCACCGGCUAACUUCGUG
rnacentral:rRNA from 1 species